AGGGAUGAAGGCCUCUGGGCUGUAAACUUCUUUUCUCAAGGAAGAAGAUCUGACGGUACUUGAGGAAUAAGCCACGGCUAAUUCCGUGCCAGCAGCCGCGGUAAUACGGGAGUGGCAAGCGUUAUCCGGAAUUAUUGGGCGUAAAGCGUCCGCAGGCGGCUUUUCAAGUCUGCUGUUAAAACGUGGAGCUCAACUCCAUCACGGCAGUGGAAACUGUUAAGCUUGAGUUUGGUAGGGGCAGAGGGAAUUCCCGGUGUAGCGGUGAAAUGCGUAGAUAUCGGGAAGAACACCAGUGGCGAAGGCGCUCUGCUGGGCCAUAACUGACGCUCAUGGACGAAAGCCAGGGGAG
rnacentral:rRNA from 1 species